CCUACGGGUGGCAGCAGUGGGGAAUAUUGGACAAUGGGCGCAAGCCUGAUCCAGCCAUGCCGCGUGAGUGAUGAAGGCCUUAGGGUUGUAAAGCUCUUUUGUCCGGGACGAUAAUGACGGUACCGGAAGAAUAAGCCCCGGCUAACUUCGUGCCAGCAGCCGCGGUAAUACGAAGGGGGCUAGCGUUGCUCGGAAUCACUGGGCGUAAAGGGCGCGUAGGCGGCCAUUCAAGUCGGGGGUGAAAGCCUGUGGCUCAACCACAGAAUUGCCUUCGAUACUGUUUGGCUUGAGUAUGGUAGAGGUCGGUGGAACUGCGAGUGUAGAGGUGAAAUUCGUAGAUAUUCGCAAGAACACCAGUGGCGAAGGCGGCCGACUGGACCAUUACUGACGCUGAGGCGCGAAAGCGUGGGGAGCAAACAGGAUUAGAUACCCUCGUAGUC
rnacentral:rRNA from 1 species